rnacentral:tRNA from 5 species
GACUCAGUAGCUCAGUUGGUAGAGCACAUCCCUUUUAAGGAUGGGGUCCUGGGUUCGAGCCCCAGCUGAGUCACCA